rnacentral:rRNA from 1 species
AGUGAACGCUGGCGGUAGGCCUAACACAUGCAAGUCGAACGGCAGCACAGUAAGAGCUUGCUCUUACGGGUGGCGAGUGGCGGACGGGUGAGGAAUACAUCGGAAUCUACUUUUUCGUGGGGGAUAACGUAGGGAAACUUACGCUAAUACCGCAUACGACCUACGGGUGAAAGCAUGGGAUCUUCGGACCUUGCGCGAUUGAAUGAGCCGAUGUCGGAUUAGCUAGUUGGCGGGGUAAAGGCCCACCAAGGCGACGAUCCGUAGCUGGUCUGAGAGGAUGAUCAGCCACACUGGAACUGAGACACGGUUCAGACUCCUACGGGAGGCAGCAGUGGGGAAUAUUGGACAAUGGGCGCAAGCCUGAUCCAGCCAUACCGCGUGGGUGAAGAAGGCCUUCGGGUUGUAAAGCCCUUUUGUUGGGAAAGAAAAGCAGCAGGUUAAUACCCCGCUGUUCUGACGGUACCCAAAGAAUAAGCACCGGCUAACUUCGUG